CUGGGAGGACCAUCUCCUAAGGCUAAAUACUCUCUAGUGACCGAUAGUGAACCAGUACCGUGAGGGAAAGGUGAAAAGCACCCCGGAAGGGGAGUGAAAUAGAACCUGAAACCGUGUGCUUACAAGUAGUCAGAGCCCGUUAAUGGGUGAUGGCGUGCCUUUUGUAGAAUGAACCGGCGAGUUACGAUUUGAUGCAAGGUUAAGCAGUAAAUGUGGAGCCGUAGCGAAAGCGAGUCUGAAUAGGGCGUUUAGUAUUUGGUCGUAGACCCGAAACCAGGUGAUCUACCCUUGGUCAGGUUGAAGUUCAGGUAACACUGAAUGGAGGACCGAACCGACUUACGUUGAAAAGUGAGCGGAUGAACUGAGGGUAGCGGAGAAAUUCCAAUCGAACCUGGAGAUAGCUGGUUCUCUCCGAAAUAGCUUUAGGGCUAGCCUCAAGUGAUGAUUAUUGGAGGUAGAGCACUGUUUGGACGAGGGGCCCCUCUCGGGUUACCGAAUUCAGACAAACUCCGAAUGCCAAUUAAUUUAACUUGGG
rnacentral:rRNA from 1 species